rnacentral:misc_RNA from 1 species
AAGGAUCAUUAUUGAUUGCGAAUUGUUGUCUUCAGUGCUGGCCAGCUCUGGCAAGUGCACGUUGGCAGCUUUUCAUCCAAUACCCCUGUGCACCUUUGGCCUCUUGCUAGCCUUGGCUGGCAGAGGAUUUUUACACCAACUCGAAUGUAAUGAAAUUAUUGUUGUGCGUAAGCACUAAUGUACAACUUUCAACAACGGAUCUCUUGGCUCUCGCAUCGAUGAAGAACGCAGCUACAAGGCUUUCCCUUUAGGUCUAUGUCAUCUCUGAAACAAAUAUGUGUCUAGAAUGUUGGAAUAAAUAAAAAGUUAUAAAAAACAACUUUCAACAACGGAUCUCUUGGCUCUC